UUACAUAGUGCUUCGUGUGAACACCGUGAAUGGUUUUUAGUGUUGUGUCGUCGUUGAAAGGAGGAAUGCCCGUCAGGAACUCGUACAGGCAAACACCCAGCGCCCACCAGUCUACUUCCACGCCUUCCAUCCCGUUAAUGAGCACG